rnacentral:rRNA from 1 species
AAAACUACGGUCUCAGUUCAGAUUGCAGGCUGCAACUCGCCUGCAUGAAGUUGGGAUUGCUAGUAAUCGCGAAUCAGAAUGUCGCGGUGAAUACGUUUCCUGGUCUUGUACACACCGCCCGUCAAACCAUGAGAGUCGCCAACACCCGAAGUCCGCUUUGCGGCCUAAGGUGGGGGAGAUGAUUGGGGUUAAGUCGUAACAAGGUAUC